rnacentral:ncRNA from 1 species
AGAAACGCUGUGACGAAGAAAAGUAACCCGGCAGGAUCUUUUCCAGAGAGCAAAGGCAUGGCUGCGACCUUUGCAAAGGCAAACCGGGCGAAGUUCCCUUUUGAGCGGCCGCGCUGAAAGCAACGCAACUAAGCGCGGACGAAAUGAGCCCCGUUACCGGCUCAAAGAGUGUUUGCUUGGAUCUAUCUUUGCAAAAAUUAGGGUGGUACCGCAGGUAUUUACAAUACUUGUCCCUGUU